UACGUAGGGUGCAAGCGUUAAUCGGAAUUACUGGGCGUAAAGCGUGCGCAGGCGGUUGUGCAAGACAGAUGUGAAAUCCCCGGGCUUAACCUGGGAAUUGCAUUUGUGACUGCACGGCUAGAGUGUGUCAGAGGGGGGUAGAAUUCCACGUGUGAGCAGUGAAAUGCGUAGAUAUGAUGGAGGAAUACCGAUGGCGAAGGCAGCCCCCUGGGAUAACACUGACGGCCUCAUGCACGAAAGCGUGGGGAGCAAACAG
rnacentral:rRNA from 1 species